UCUGUAAUAAGCCCAUGUGUGGUAAUAAGUCCAUGUCUGGCAAUAACUCCAUGUCAGGUAGUAAGCCCAUGUCUGGUAAUAAGCCCAUGUCUGGUAAUAAGCCAAUGUCUGUAAUAAGCCCAUGUCUGGCAAUAACUCCAUGUCAGGUAAUAAGCCCAUGUCUGGCAAUAAGUCCAUGUCAGGUAAUAAGCCCAUGUCGGUAAUAAGCCCAUGUCUGGCAAUAAGUCCAUAUCGGUAAUAAGCCCAUUUCUGACAAAAAAGGCUGUGUCUGAUAAUAAGCCCUUUUUUAGUAAUAAGCCCAUGUCCUGUAAUAUGCCUACUCCUUGGUUUAAGUUGGAAAAUGGUGUUUUGUUAAUGAUUGUUUUUCAAAAUAAAUCAGUUUUUUCUGUAAUUCCUGAAAAUAAGGAGGGUCUUUUUGAAUUUCUUCUCUUUUCAACAUGAUUAGAUAAAGGGGCACUGUAGCACAACCUCUGUGAGAAUGUGUGGCUUAAUGCAGGAUAAAGAGUGGAAAUCGUAUUGUAACAAUUAAAUGUUCUUCAAACUUCUAAGUCAAAUCCUGAUGGAAAAUGUAGUUUUGUUUUAAUUAAUAUACACAGAUGAAAAUUGGAAAAUUUACCAGAAGUCUAAAACCUAGAUUUUCUGGUCCUUCCUAUUUGAAAAUUUGAAAGUUAGCAUUUUUUCCAAAACUUCACAUCUGUAUAUCUAUGAAAUACUGUUGAAAUCUUAAUUUGAAAAUGUGAAAUAUCUAAUGUAUCUCAUAGGGAAUAAAAACUCAUGGUUUGUUUAUUAUUUACAUGUUGAUCAGAAGUGCUUCUUAAAGAGAAAGAGUGUUUGAUUGAGAGUCGUUACUUGUCUCGUAGUAGCAGACUAAAUGUGUAUGGUCGCAGAGUUAGCAUUCACGUGAUUCCUACAGUUGUUACGUAUGGGUUACAAAUCUAGCAUUUAUAAUAUCGGAUGUAUGUAAUAUUGUGUAUUCUCACAUGGUUUUAUAUAGUAUUCAUUAAGAUAUAUACCGAUGUAUUCUGUAUGGUCACAGAUAUGGCAUUCAUAAAGAUCCGAUAUAUGUACCCAAGUACGUAUAUAUCCGUAUAUAUUGUAUAUGUCCGUAGAUCUGGCAUUCAUAAAGGUCUGUGUAUACAAAUAUUGUGUAUGGCCGUAGAUCUGGCAUUCAUAAAGGUCUGACGUAUACAAAUAUUGUGUAUGGCCGUAGAUCUGGCAUUCAUAAAGGUCUGAUGUAUACAAAUAUUGUGUAUGGCCGUAGAUCUGGCAUUCAUAAAGGUCUGACGUAUACAAAUAUUGUGUAUGGCCGUAGAUCUGGCAUUCAUAAAGGUCUGACGUAUACAAAUAUUGUGUAUGGUCGUAGAUCUGGCAUUCAUAAAGGUCUGUGUAUACAAAUAUUGUGUAUGGCCGUAGAUCUGGCAUUCAUAAAGGUCUGUGUAUACAAAUAUUGUGUAUGGCCAUAGAUCUGGCAUUCAUAAAGGUCUGACGUAUACAAAUAUUGUGUAUGGCCGUAGAUCUGGCAUUCAUAAAGGUCUGUGUAUACAAAUAUUGUGUAUGGCCGUAGAUCUGGCAUUCAUAAAGGUCUGUGUAUACAAAUAUUGUGUAUGGCCGUAGAUCUGGCAUUCAUAAAGGUCUGUGUAUACAAAUAUUGUGUAUGGCCGUAGAUCUGGCAUUCAUAAAGGUCUGUGUAUACAAAUAUUGUGUAUGGCCGUAGAUCUGGCAUUCAUAAAGGUCUGAUGUAUACAAAUAUUGUGUAUGGUCGUAGAUCUGGCAUUCAUAAAGGUCUGUGUAUACAAAUAUUGUGUAUGGCCGUAGAUCUGGCAUUCAUAAAGGUCUGUGUAUACAAAUAUUGUGUAUGGCCGUAGAUCUGGCAUUCAUAAAGGUCUGAUGUAUACAAAUAUUGUGUAUGGUCGUAGAUCUGGCAUUCAUAAAGGUCUGUGUAUACAAAUAUUGUGUAUGGCCGUAGAUCUGGCAUUCAUAAAGGUCUGUGUAUACAAAUAUUGUGUAUGGCCGUAGAUCUGGCAUUCAUAAAGGUCUGAUGUAUACAAAUAUUGUGUAUGGUCGUAGAUCUGGCAUUCAUAAAGGUCUGUGUAUACAAAUAUUGUGUAUGGCCGUAGAUCUGGCAUUCAUAAAGGUCUGUGUAUACAAAUAUUGUGUAUGGCCGUAGAUCUGGCAUUCAUAAAGGUCUGUGUAUACAAAUAUUGUGUAUGGCCGUAGAUCUGGCAUUCAUAAAGGUCUGUGUAUACAAAUAUUGUGUAUGGCCGUAGAUCUGGCAUUCAUAAAGGUCUGUGUAUACAAAUAUUGUGUAUGGCCGUAGAUCUGGCAUUUCAUAAAGGUCUGUGUAUACAAAUAUUGUGUAUGGCCGUAGAUCUGGCAUUCAUAAAGGUCUGUGUAUACAAAUAUUGUGUAUGGCCGUAGAUCUGGCAUUCAUAAAGGUCUGAUGUAUACAAAUAUUGUGUAUGGUCGUAGAUCUGGCAUUCAUAAAGGUCUGUGUAUACAAAUAUUGUGUAUGGCCGUAGAUCUGGCAUUCAUAAAGGUCUGAUGUAUACAAAUAUUGUGUAUGGCCGUAGAUCUGGCAUUCAUAAAGGUCUGUGUAUACAAAUAUUGUGUAUGGCCGUAGAUCUGGCAUUCAUAAAGGUCUGAUGUAUACAAAUAUUGUGUAUGGCCGUAGAUCUGGCAUUCAUAAAGGUCUGACGUAUACAAAUAUUGUGUAUGGCCGUAGAUCUGGCAUUCAUAAAGGUCUGUGUAUACAAAUAUUGUGUAUGGCCGUAGAUCUGGCAUUCAUAAAGGUCUGUGUAUACAAAUAUUGUGUAUGGCCGUAGAUCUGGCAUUCAUAAAGGUCUGAUGUAUACAAAUAUUGUGUAUGGCCGUAGAUCUGGCAUUCAUAAAGGUCUGAUGUAUACAAAUAUUGUGUAUGGCCGUAGAUCUGGCAUUCAUAAAGGUCUGAUGUAUACAAAUAUUGUGUAUGGUCGUAGAUCUGGCAUUCAUAAAGGUCUGUGUAUACAAAUAUUGUGUAUGGCCGUAGAUCUGGCAUUCAUAAAGGUCUGUGUAUACAAAUAUUGUGUAUGGCCGUAGAUCUGGCAUUCAUAAAGGUCUGACGUAUACAAAUAUUGUGUAUGGCCGUAGAUCUGGCAUUCAUAAAGGUCUGUGUAUACAAAUAUUGUGUAUGGCCGUAGAUCUGGCAUUCAUAAAGGUCUGAUGUAUACAAAUAUUGUGUAUGGCCGUAGAUCUGGCAUUCAUAAAGGUCUGACGUAUACAAAUAUUGUGUAUGGCCGUAGAUCUGGCAUUCAUAAAGGUCUGUGUAUACAAAUAUUGUGUAUGGCCGUAGAUCUGGCAUUCAUAAAGGUCUGUGUAUACAAAUAUUGUGUAUGGCCGUAGAUCUGGCAUUCAUAAAGGUCUGAUGUAUACAAAUAUUGUGUAUGGCCGCAGAUCUGGCUUUCAUAAAGGUCUGUGUAUACAAAUAUUGUGUAUGGCCGUAGAUCUGGCAUUCAUAAAGGUCUGUGUAUACAAAUAUUGUGUAUGGCCGUAGAUCUGGCAUUCAUAAAGGUCUGACGUAUACAAAUAUUGUGUAUGGCCGUAGAUCUGGCAUUCAUAAAGGUCUGAUGUAUACAAAUAUUGUGUAUGUCCGUAGAUCUGGCAUUCAUAAAGAAACAAAGACGAUUUAGUUAUGUAAGGAAAUGGAUGAAGCCUAUCAAGUCCAUCUGUGAUCUGAAGUUAAGCCAUUUCACAAAGAUAAUUGCUGUCCACAAUUCUGUUUUAAAUUAACAAACAAAACCGUUUAUCCCCAUUCUUCCUUAAUUAAGUACAUAUGUUCCUGUUUUUGAGAAUGUUUGUAAAUGUGAAAAUUGCCUUUAUUUAUUAAGUGCACAUAUCAAUUUGUUGUACGUAUGCAAUGAAUUAUUUUGAAAUGUUGUUAUACUGUUGUAUGUGAAAGUUGUUAAACCUGUAUGUGAAUGAGUUCAAACCUGGUAACAAUUACCAGGACUAGCUCUACCUUUGAAUAUUGACUAAUCAAGAAAUUUGCAGCAAUUUUCCUAUUUCCUCUCUGAAAUGAAUUUCCUGUCAAAGAGUUUUUUUCAUUUCUUCCAAAUCAGAAAAAAAAAAAAAAAUUGUGCA